AGCUUUGUGCAGUGGCAGUAUCGUAACCAGUGAGGUUUAUCCGAGGCGCGAUUAUUGCUCAUUGAAAACUUUUCCCUAAUAACACAGUCUGCAUGGAUUUUGCCCGUGUAUUACAUACAGUGUUAAAAUAAGC
ensembl:snRNA U4 U4 spliceosomal RNA